rnacentral:SRP_RNA from 10 species
GCCGGGUGUGGUGGCACGCACCCAUAGUCCUAGCUGCUCAGGAGGCUGAGGUGGUAGGAUUGCUUGAGCCCGGGAGUUAGAGGUUGCAGUGCACUGUGACGGCUGCACUGCACUCCAGCCUGGGUGAUGGGGUGAGACCUUGUCUCAAAAAAAUUUAUUCACUUUUUUUGGGGAACAGAGUUUCACUCUUGUUGCCCAGGCUGGAGUGCAAUAGCACAAUCUCAGCUCACUGCAACCUCCGCCUCCUGGGUUCAAGCGAUUCUCCUGCCUCA